UACGAAGGGGGCUAGCGUUGCUCGGAAUCACUGGGCGUAAAGGGUGCGUAGGCGGGUCUUUAAGUCAGGGGUGAAAUCCUGGAGCUCAACUCCAGAACUGCCUUUGAUACUGAAGAUCUUGAGUUCGGGAGAGGUGAGUGGAACUGCGAGUGUAGAGGUGAAAUUCGUAGAUAUUCGCAAGAACACCAGUGGCGAAGGCGACUCGCUGGCCCGAUACUGACGCUGAGGCACGAAAGCGUGGGGAGCAAACAGGG
rnacentral:rRNA from 1 species